CCCUGACAGUUGCAUGGUGCGACUGACUAACCCAGACAGGAGAUCGACAUG
ncrna:unclassified sequences Mu-gpT-DE RNA